UACGUAGGGGGCGAGCGUUGUCCGGAUUUAUUGGGCGUAAAGAGCGUGUAGGCGGCCAGGUAGGUCUGCUGUGAAAACUCGAGGCUCAACCUCGAGACGUCGGCGGAAACCAUCUGGCUAGAGUCCGGAAGAGGAGAGUGGAAUUCCUGGUGUAGCGGUGGAAUGCGCAGAUAUCAGGAGGAACACCGGUGGCGAAGGCAAUCCCCUGGGCCUGCACUGACGCUCAUGCACGAAAGCGUGGGGAGCAAACAGG
rnacentral:rRNA from 1 species